rnacentral:rRNA from 1 species
GUCCACGCUGUAAACGAUGGGUACUAGGUUUGGUGGGUCUUGACCCCCGCCGAACCGGCGCUAACGCAAUAAGUACCCCGCCUGGGAAGUACGGUCGCAAGACUAAAACUCAAAUGAAUUGACGGGGGCCCGCACAAGCGGUGGAUCAUGUGGUUUAAUUCGAAGCAACGCGAAGAACCUUACCUGGAUUUGACAUCUUCUGACAAACGUAGAGAUACGUCUUUUGUAGCAAUACAACAGAAUGACAGGUGCUGCAUGGCUGUCGU